CGGAACUGAAUGAGUUUAUAUGUUUUUCUCCGAUGUGAUUCAUCAUUAUUCAUCGGAGGGAGAUGAAUCACUUGGGAUGAGGAAGAGAAGAAAAGAAGUUCCUCAUCCGCGGACUUCUUCCGUUUUUUUUUGUUUUUUUCAUAAGUUUAAAGACUCUAUUUCUCUUCUAUUUUAUUUUGUUAAAUGUAACGAUAAUUAAAUAUAGAAAUUUGAUAUGAUUAUUGAAGUUAAUAAUAAAAAUAAGUAGUCUACUCAUAUCUCGACGGAUUAUACAAAUCAGGAAUCGUUCGUUUGAAUGGGGGAGUCCUCGAGACUCACAAUAUUAAAUGCUGCUCUUUAUCUUCUAAUUGGCUUGUAUUCUUCUGAUAGUGGAACUGUUCCUUAUUAUUGGUGUUUCGUCUGUUGCGCUUGCCAUUGACUAAUAGUUCCUGCCGCGCAUUAAUAUGUAAUAAUCAGCUUUUCGUCUUCCGGUGUCGACAAAGUUCAUUGUUUCUUCUUGUUUUAUAUAUGUAUUAUUUCUUGUUUGUUUCAUUUGCUUCCACAUAUUUGUUUCUCAGUCAUCUCUUCAACAAUAUUUCAAACGUGUCAUUCAGUAUAUUUGCGAGUUUUCACUGUUACGUCUGCGUCAGUCGCCCGGAUAGGGAUUCGCCGCGUUGACCAAGAGCAUCGCACUUGUCUGAGUAUACAACCGGGAAAAAAUUGUUGAAGGAACUAAAGGCUUUUAUAGUUUUCUUAUCAAUUAACGUGCUAUAUGAAUCGUCACGAUGAAUCAUCGUGACUCACCUUCGACGAGGAAUCUCUUUCAUCUUCGGCAGGAAAUUUUUUCAACAACGAAGUCUUCUGUUUGUUCAAAGUUUUAAGAGUCUGUUUCUUUUCAUAAAAUAAUGCCAAAUGUAAAAUUUAUUCAAAAAAUAAGUUUGUUCAUAUCUUGAUUAUUUGGUUUAGAAAAAUUAUGGCUAUGGUGGUCUCCAAGACUUCACAAUUUCAUUAUUGAUAACUUUUUAGUAAAAUUACAAUGGCUGUAGGUGACGAUCUCCGUCCAUUCGGACCAGUUUUAGAGCUGGUACAGGGAUCAAACCUAUACAAUUGUUUACCAAUUAAUAUUUUUCUUCUAAGUUUGUAUGUAGUUUCUUCUUUCCUGAUGUUUAUACAGGUGCACUUUAAUCUUAGCCAAAAGUUCGAGAAGCGAAGGAAACUUGUAAAAAUACAUACAUUUAUUGAUAUUUAAGAAAUUUUUUACAAAUAUCUUACAUAUCCGACAGUCCAAGGAUAACAUUGAGGUGGCUGGCAGACGGUGCAGGUGUUUGCAUUCUGUAUCGUUUUCUUGCUGCCUCCUCUGUCUGACUUAUCUCUUGGUGGAGACGUUUCCGUUUGUCUGAAUCUGUUACCUUCUGGAUUUUGGUUGCAAUUAUAUGCCUGCACGCAAUGGAGUUUACAUCCAUAUGAGGGAGGCAGUUUUUUUCUAGGAUUCUGUUGAUAUAUUGAACAACAUUGAUAAUCAGAGUUCCACUCAGUCAGAAGAAAUGUUUCAGAAUGAGUUUUCGUCAUUUUGACAUUAUCGUGUUAAUAAAGGGGGUAAAGACGCCGCAGUGGAUAAAGAUGUCGCAUAUAAUGUAUUUGUGUAAGUAAACACGGUAGGCAAAUGCUACCUGAUGGCAUUUAUGCAGGAUAACAUGAUUAGUGAUCAGUUAAUAUGAUCCGAGUUCACAUAAAAGGUGUUCAUCUGUUUAUCAUUGUUCUUGAAUCGGAUAAGUUUCAUCGUGCUAUAAUUGUUUAGGUUAUAUAAAAUAAUUUGAGUAACAAAAUAACUGGCGAUAGCAGAGAUGUGUGAUGAUUACUGACGAUUAUUUGAGUUUCACUGUGCUAACCAUUGCAUAUAGCAUUUUUUUGCUACAGGGUCGUUGCUAAUGUGAUAUCAAAUAUAACGUGUGGCAGGGGUGAGAUGUCGCCUUUUGGGCAAAAUAUAUUGAGGGUAAGAUGCCGCAUUCAAAUAUUGCAAAUUUGUUUUGCAACACAGGAUAGCAUUUUCUUGUCAAGUCCAGAUCAUGUUAUAUUAAAUUUGGCAUUUUCGUUCAGUGCCGGUACGAAUAAAAGUUCGACUCUGGCACUAUAACGACGGUUGUAUAGUCCAUGCAUUUUAAAAAACUUGUCAAGAUUUUUCCAAUACAUUUUAAAAGUUCUACUUAAUCUUCUGUAGGUUCUCUUUCCUAACACACAAUCGAGAACUUUUAAUACUUUUUCAUUUAAUAAAAACAUCAAGACACUUAAAUAUGGAACUUCAGUAUUCAUUGGAAACACUGUAGAAUGAUUUACUUCUAUUAAGGAAGAUAUGAUGAUUAAAUAACAAUUAGCAAAAUUAGCAAAUAAGAUUGGCCUCAAAGCUAAAAAGUAACUUCUCGUAAAUCACUUUGGCGGAUUUCUUCGAUAUUUGCUUUCUCUGUCGAUAUCCUUUGUUGGUGGACUUAUUGCAAAAAUGGUAGGGAAAUAAUGACGCAAAAAUGGCUUUAGUUCCCGAGCAAAUGAUUCGAAAAUAUAAACCAGAAUAUAAAGUCUACGACAAUAUCCAUGAGUUAUUAGAAGAUAGUAAUUUAGACGAUGAUGCUAAAGCAAAAUUAUUAAGUGAACUGUUAUCGAGAUAUAAACGCCUAACGCCGCUAGCCGGUUCAUGCUCCGAAAGAACCGGUGCCUGUGACUGUCGUUCCUAAAGACUGACAUUAAUCCCCUUACAGAGACAGACAUCAGUUCGCCUCCCUAUCUGCGGAAAUUCCGGCUAGCAAGACUUUGGACGAUUUAAUUUUAUCAUCAGUUCCUCAACUUUAGCAAAAAUUAAUC
rnacentral:lncRNA from 1 species